GGGCGUCUAGGUAAUUUUAUUUCCGAAUUGCACGGCAGAUCACGACCUCUACCGUCGUUUGAGUUUAAAAUUUUAGCUGCCAAGCGUUGUCAUUUCGCCGUCACACCAAAUGUUAUCAGUUAAAAAAAUAAUAAUUUGCUCAUAUAUGCGUUAAGACCAAGAUGGUGAGUUAAAAUAGCUUCCAAAGAAGUUUUUCAGCGAUGGAAGUUAAAUUUGUUCUUUUGGAAAUGUCUAAUUAAAUCCCAAUACGAUUAAAAUGACUGAUGUGAUGGCCUAAGAUUUGGAAGAGUAAAUACUAAGUAUGUACAACACUUACUGCAAUGAGUAAAGCAGAAAAAGGACAAGUAGUCAAUAAAUUUGCUGUGAAAAUGGUUUACGCAAAGUUUAGUAUUAUACGUUAUUUUUUAACCCUUUGAUAAAAAGAAAAAAUACAUUGAAAAAUACCAAAGGAGUUCAAAUAUAAA